CCGAUCUUAGCUCAGUUGGAAGAGCGUGAGACUGUAAUCGGUUACCCACAACUUGGAAUUUAAAAUCUCAAGGUCACUUGUUCGAACCAUGUAGAUCGGA